rnacentral:rRNA from 1 species
UACGUAGGGACCGAGCGUUGUCCGGAAUCAUUGGGCGUAAAGAGCGUGUAGGCGGCUUGCUAAGUCUUGCGUGAAAUCUCGGGGCUCAACCCCGAGCGGUCGUGGGAAACUGGCAGGCUAGAGUGCGGGAGAGGAGAAUGGAAUUCCUGGUGUAGCGGUGAAAUGCGCAGAUAUCAGGAAGAACACCCGUGGCGAAGGCGGUUCUCUGGAACGCAACUGACGCUGAGACGCGCAAGCGUGGGGAGCAAACAGG